CGUUUGGAAGACGCUUUAUUGAAUCAUCAUGAUGCCGACGAUGCAAGCGUAGCGAUUGCCAAACUUAUGAGGUGGGUACUCGCUUCAGAUUAGAGCCGCAGCCACAGUUUGAUUACUACGAAACGCAGCUUUUUACUCGCUUGCUGAUAUGAAACUCUUGUUUAUUUCCCAGGUUGUCGUACUUACUGACUCGGCUGCAUGUGUAAGGAAAUUCAAACGUAUCUUUGAGCAAACAUGCUGAGUUCGAUUGGAGUUCGUUGACCAAGCAGGCAACCUUGGAUUUCGCUUUGUAAUGGAUAUUAUAAAAAAACAUCCAAAAAAAGAGGGCAGUCAUUUCUGAAUUUUAUCUUUUUGCUGAAUGUUCAAGUCAUUAGAAGGAAGCAGUCCCAAUCGUGCCACUUCCACUUGGAAGCUAGCAUUUUCUAUCCGGGUUGGUAGCUGAUUGGUGGUUGUGACCAAACUUGACUAUACUCAACACCGGUGAUCCUCGUUUGCUGCAGCAUCUCUAGCAUUUCGUUUUUCCAGCCCCGAGAAAUGCUCUAUUGCUUUGUAAUUGAAGAGUGGAGAAAUGUUAAUCUCGAUCUUUAGUGCUGCUCGCCUGCUAUGGCGCGUGGAACUAAGUUCAGUUAAACCCAGCUAUGGGUAUUCUUUACCAUGAAAUAUUUCAUCUCUUUUAUUGAGAUUGAGAGAACAUACGUACACCUCUCAUCAGCUUUGUUGAUGGAAUGUUCUAUGUUUCGUCGGGACGGUU
rnacentral:lncRNA from 1 species